rnacentral:rRNA from 1 species
GAGCUGUGAUGGGGAGAAGACAUUGUGUCUUCGAGUCGUUGAUUUCACACUGCCGAGAAAAGCCUCUAGAUAGAAAAUAGGUGCCCGUACCGCAAACCGACACAGGUAGUCAAGAUGAGAAUUCUAAGGUGAGCGAGCGAACUCUCGUUAAGGAACUCGGCAAAAUGACCCCGUAACUUCGGGAGAAGGGGUGCUCUUUAGGGUUAACGCCCAGAAGAGCCGCAGUGAAUAGGCCCAAGCGACUGUUUAUCAAAAACACAGGUCUCUGCUAAACCGUAAGGUGAUGUAUAGGGGCUGACGCCUGCCCGGUGCUGGAAGGUUAAGAGGAGUGGUUAGCUUCUGCGAAGCUACGAAUCGAAGCCCCAGUAAACGGCGGCCGUAACUAUAACGGUCCUAAGGUAGCGAAAUUCCUUGUCGGGUAAGUUCCGACCCGCACGAAAGGCGUAACGAUUUGGGCACUGUCUCAACGAGAGACUCGGUGAAAUCAUAGUACCUGUGAAGAUGCAGGUUACCCGCGACAGGACGGAAAGACCCCGUGGAGCUUUACUGUAGCCUGAUAUUGAAAUUCGGCACAGCUUGUACAGGAUAGGUAGGAGCCUUUGAAACGUGAGCGCUAGCUUACGUGGAGGCGCUGGUGGGAUACUACCCUAGCUGUGUUGGCUUUCUAACCCGCACCACUUAUCGUGGUGGGAGACAGUGUCAGGCGGGCAGUUUGACUGGGGCGGUCGCCUCCUAAAAGGUAACGGAGGCGCUCAAAGGUUCCCUCAGAAUGGUUGGAAAUCAUUCAUAGAGUGUAAAGGCAUAAGGGAGCUUGACUGCGAGACCUACAAGUCGAGCAGGGUCGAAAGACGGACUUAGUGAUCCGGUGGUUCCGCAUGGAAGGGCCAUCGCUCAACGGAUAAAAGCUACCCCGGGGAUAACAGGCUUAUCUCCCCCAAGAGUUCACAUCGACGGGGAGGUUUGGCACCUCGAUGUCGGCUCAUCGCAUCCUGGGGCUGUAGUCGGUCCCAAGGGUUGGGCUGUUCGCCCAUUAAAGCGGUACGCGAGCUGGGUUCAGAACGUCGUGAGACAGUUCGGUCCCUAUCCGUCGUGGGCGUAGGAAAUUUGAGAGGAGCUGUCCUUAGUACGAGAGGACCGGGAUGGACAUACCUCUGGUGUACCAGUUGUCGUGCCAACGGCAUAGCUGGGUAGCUAUGUGUGGACGGGAUAAGUGCUGAAAGCAUCUAAGCAUGAAGCCCCCCUCAAGAUGAGAUUUCCCAACUUCGGUUAUAAGAUCCCUCAAAGAUGAUGAGGUUAAUAGGUUCGAGGUGGAAGCAUGGUGACAUGUGGAGCUGACGAAUACUAA